rnacentral:rRNA from 1 species
UUAGGAAUUUUGCGCAAUGGACGAAAGUCUGACGCAGCGACAUCGCGUGAAGGAUGAAGGCUCUAGGGUCGUAAACUUCUUUUAUUUUCUCAUGAAGAGAUUUUGAAUCAGGAACUACUAACUACGUGCCAGCAGUCGCGGUAAUACGUAGGUUCCAAGCGUUACCCGGUUUUAUUGGGCGUAAAGCGUCUGUAGGUGGUUUUCUAAGUCUUAUUUCAAAGACCCCGGCUCAACCGGGGGCAGGGGUAGGAUACUGGAAGACUAGAGUGAUAUCGGGGUUACUGGAAUUUUUAGUGUAGGGGUAAAAUCCGUGGAUACUAAAAAGAACACCAAGCGCGAAGGCGGGUAACCAGGUAUAUACUGACACUCAGAGACGAAAGCUAGGGUAGCCAAUCAGAUU